UCCAGGUUACAAGAGAUAAUGAUUCCCUAGCUCUGCCAGUUGCAUAUUGGGAGCUAGGGUUUUAUGUCUUCUCUACCCAGGUAUUCCCGAUGUUUAAUUGGUUUCCAGCAAACUCUUCUUCUUACUGUCAGGGGCGGAGCUGUUAGUGGGGUGGGUGGUGCCAUGGACCCACCCAAAUUUCCAAAAUCUUUUAGUUUUACUCGUUCAGCGGGAGAAUAUAACAUGCUCAUCUCUUCCAUGAACUUGCUCAGUAAUCGAUUCAAAGUUGCAAGUGUUGGUCUAAAUUCACAGCCAAGAUCAAGGGUUAAAUUUUGAGAACUGGUUAGUAACCUGUAUGACCCGUCCUCACUUUAGUGAAUAAGAGGGUUCUUAUAAGUGGGGAAGGCGGUUCUAUAAGCUACUAUCCAGUUGCAACAAUUAAGAGAAGGUUUGUGACUGUGGUAGCAUUGAAACAGGGUGAAGAGUCAAAUUUAUAUUGGCUUUAAGAUUAUUUUGUCCAAUGUUACAUUUUUCGGAUGCAAAACCAAUAAAUUUCUAUUGCAUUAUUUUUUUAUGCAAGGAUUAUUAUCCCUUCCAAAUUGCACUAGAAAUUACUAUUUUAUUACUGCGGGAUCAGCUAUAACUGAUCGGUUUACCAUCUGAUCAUAUGUGUGUUCAUGCUGCUUUUUCAUAUUUUUCUGCCUUCAACUUUGAUCUCCAUCUUUUGAUGGGGCGCAAAGUCUUUAACGAUAAAAACGAUAGUAAACUGAUGCAAGUACACAAGUGUCUGUCUAUGAAUGUAUGUAACCAAGACUUUACUGUUUAAUGUUAGUGUAAACACUUUCCAAAGAUUGUCUUAUUCCACUUUUACAGGUCAUGAUUGCUUCCAGAGUUUUUGCUUCAUAUUUGACGGGAAGGAUUCUAUCACGCAGCACUACUUCCAUGCCCUAUUAUGUUUGCAGGUCUUCUUCAGGGCAAGCAAGUUGGGGAUGCGGUUGACUACGAUAUUAGCACCGAGAUCUUGUAGUUAUUUUUUUGGCUUUGAUGAUUUCCUGGGCACUAUAAAUUUGGAACGAUGUUUUGGCUCCUCCUUUAUGCUAUUACAGUAUGUAUUUUUCAGGUAGGAGUUGAAACUGAAAGAGAGGUAUUUGCAGAAACUAUCAUAUCAAAUGCAACUAGAUGGCAUACCUUUGGUGAUUGGAAGUGCUUAAAGCUGCGACGUUUCUUUCCACCCACAUGGUGAUUAAAGGUGCCUAGUUGCCGCCAGGCACAGAUUGCCACCAUUUCGCUCUUGAGGUGUUCAAAUGCACAAUAAGCAGUAACAAUUCAACAGAAAUGACUAUUCAGAGUCAGGUGUGUAUGGAAAUUACAGAAAGAGAGAAACCUCAAAGGUAGAGAAGUGUAACUAAAGACCAUCCUGAACAAGAAAAGGGAUUGAUAUCUUCAAAUUUCUUCAGGACAUCAAAUUUUUUGACAAAACUUAUGCCUCAUGAUGUCUAACUCGAGCCAACCUGUAUAGCACAGCAAGCAAAACGUUCUCUUCAGAAAGAUUAGCAGUCCAGUUACGGUAUCUCUUAGUCACAGUCUUUUUCUGAUUAUGAAUCAGCAAGUUUACAUCGGUUGAGUAACCCUCUUUAUACUUGCAAAUGCUAAUCGUUGAUAAAACCUUCCCAAAGAUUGAAUAGGAUCAAGAUCUCCACCGUUUUCAUCACCUGCUCUGUAAUUUAUCUCCACAUCAGAAUUGCUGAAGAAACCCAAAAGAAUUUCAGGAAGAUUUUCUAGAAAAAUCCCCUUCUCCCAUAA